AGCAAAGGAAAGGAAAGGAAAAAGGAAAGAAAGAAAGAAAGAAAGAAAGAAAGAAAGAAAGAAAGAAAGAAAGAAAGAAAGAAAGAAAGAAAGAAAGAAAGAAAGAAAGGAAGGAAGGAAGGAAGGAAGGAAGGAAGGAAGGAAGGAAGGAAGGAAGGAAGGAAGGAAGGAAGGAAGGAAGGAAGGAAGGAAGGAAGGAAAGGAAAGGAAAGGAAAGGAAAGGAAGGAAGGAAGGAAGGAAGGAAGGAAGGAAGGAAAGGAAAGGAAAGGAAGGAAAGGAAGGAAGGAAGGAAGGAAGGAAGGAAGGAUGGAAGGAAGGAAGGAAGGAAGGAAGGAAGGAAUGAAGGAAGGAAGGAAGGAAGGAAGGAAGAACAGGAAGGAAGGAAGGGAGGGAGGGAGGGAGGGAGGGAAAAGAAAGACCAUGGUUAACUCAUGAUGUGGGUCUUAUCCCUAACAUUAGCUAAAGUCUUCCAUUCUUUAAACCUCCUAUGAUCAUACAAAUUUAGGUUUAGAGCCAGAAGGGUCCAUAGGGAUUGUUUAGUCCAACCCCUUCAUCUUUCAGGGGAAACUAAAGCCCACUGAGUUGGAUUCACAAAGUUUCCACUGUAUCACACUACUUUGAGGGAGAAAAGAAAAGCAUCCAAGGUAUAAAUGAAGGAGGCCAUUUGUCCUUUCAAAUUUUAUGCCCUCUUUACCUGACAUGGGGCACAACCUCUCUAGGUGUCUUGUACCUUUAAUCCUCUCAAGUAGGGCCUUACACCCAAGGUGUCCAUAAUUAUCCUUCUCCCACUCUUCCUACCCCAUAUUUAGCCCAA
rnacentral:lncRNA from 1 species